rnacentral:rRNA from 1 species
AUACGGAGGAUCCGAGCGUUAUCCGGAUUUAUUGGGUUUAAAGGGUGCGCAGGCGGGAGAUUAAGUCGGCGGUGAAAUUUUGCAGCUCAACUGUAAAAGUGCCCUCGAAACUGGUUUCCUUGAGUGUAGAUGAAGUAGGCGGAAUUUGUGGUGUAGCGGUGAAAUGCAUAGAUAUCACGAGGAACUCCGAUUGCGCAGGCAGCUUACUAAACUACUACUGACGCUCAGGCACGAAGGCGUGGGGAUCAAACAGGAUUAGAUACCCUGGUAGUCCACGCAGUAAACGAUGAUUACUAGCUGUUUGCGAUACAAUGUAAGCGGCUGAGCGAAAGCGUUAAGUAAUCCACCUGGGGAGUACGUUCGCAAGAAUGAAACUCAAAGGAAUUGACGGGG